ensembl:lncRNA
CUAGACGCUAGCUAGUUACCAAGCUCCCUACUACGCUUCGGACUUACAUGGUUAAGGGCUCUAGCCUCGUUUUCUAUUUACGAUUCUCGGAUCUCGUCUUGGAUUAUUCCUUUCGCUUCGGACUGAGUGCUUGGCGCUUCACGCCUCCCUCGCCUUCUUGUCACUGCUCGGCCCGCGCUUGCCUCCCAUCUGGUAACGUAACACCGGUUGAGUUUACCAUUUAAGCCACAUCAGUCAAUUUCUGGCAACCGGCAGAAUCAAGGAAGUGUGAAUGAUCCACAAUCUCUUCGAGUUGUUUGGAGAGGAGAAUCAUGCUGAAACUAGACCAAAUCCAGGACAACAUCACAGCAGCGGUCGGAACAAUGCACUAGUCAAUGAGCCAGCCAAGCACAUCUGUCUCUGAUCUUAUAGAGGUGCUAGAGGUGCCUUGUAAGACUGUGGAGGAAUUAACAGAGCUGUGAGAUAAGCUGAAAGAUGCUGACUUUCGAAAGAAGAAUG